rnacentral:misc_RNA from 1 species
GUUAGAGAGCUGGCAUGUGAGCUUCUAGAUCUGGUGGCAGAGGGUCUGCGGGUCCCAGACACAUCAGUCUUUAGUAGGCUCAUCAGAGACGUCCAUAGUGACUCCAUCCUCAGGCUCAAUCACUACCCACCUAUGCCUAUUCUCUGCAAGGAUAACGACACGUCAUCUUCUUACAACACAAACAGGGUUGGCUUUGGAGAGCACUCUGACCCUCAG